rnacentral:lncRNA from 1 species
CUGUGAGUUUAUCAUCGAAUAACAGCAAUGAAUCGGAUCUAUAAUCUCAGCACUAAUGUAAGUGGCCACAACACACUCUCUUUUCAUUCAUUAAUAUAGACGGUGCCCGCAGCACACUGGCGUAUUACGACGUAAACUAGCCCCUAAUCUUAGCAUUGAUGAAAUAUGCAUCUCCCAUGAAUCGAAGGCCAGUGUGUCGUAAUGGGUAACCAGUACAGGUGUUUAAGACGAGUUUUUUUUAUUCUUCUCACAGGUGUUUAUGCGAGCUUCGAAAAUUCACCCUUCUCGACGUUUAGAGCUCCACACCACGCUGCGUAUUACUAUGCCGCUACCUCUGCAUGAAAGCUUAGGUUGCUGCCGACAGCGACGGCAUUCACACGUGCUGAUGAGCAUCUAAUCAGAUAAAUUAUCGAUUAUGCUGCUAAGACCAACGGCUCCUGCACUGUUUGCCUAGGAUUGCCUAAAUUAGUCGGAUGGUGAUGUGGGCCUAACUCCUCGG